GGGAGAGAUUUGAAAAUCGGGGAGCUGGUGUGGGGGAAGAUCCGGGGCUUUGCCUGGUGGCCGGCCAUCAUUGUCACCUGGAAGGCCACAUCCAACCGCCCUGCAGCUCCUGGGAUGCGAUGGGUCAAAUGGUUUGGUGAUGGAAAGUUUUCAGAGGUCUCCGCUGACAAACUGGUGGGAUUGGUGGCCUUCCAGGACCAUUUCAACUCUUCCACUUUUCAGAAGUUGGUGUCCUACCGACAAGCCAUUCUCCAUGUUUUGGAGAUUGCAAGCAGCCGAGCUGGCAAGACUUUCUUCUAGUUCCCCGGGGGAUUCUCUGGAAGAAAAGCUGAAG